UACGUAGGGUGCAAGCGUUAAUCGGAAUUACUGGGCGUAAAGCGUGCGCAGGCGGCUUUGCAAGACAGAUGUGAAAUCCCCGGGCUCAACCUGGGAACUGCAUUUGUGACUGCAUGGCUAGAGUACGGUAGAGGGGGAUGGAAUUCCGCGUGUAGCAGUGAAAUGCGUAGAUAUGCGGAGGAACACCGAUGGCGAAGGCAAUCCCCUGGGCCUGCACUGACGCUCAUGCACGAAAGCGUGGGGAGCAAACAGG
rnacentral:rRNA from 1 species